UACAGAGGUGGCAAGCGUUGUUCGGAAUUACUGGGCGUAAAGGGCGCGUAGGCGGUUCGAUAAGUCCCGUGUGAAAUCCCUCGGCUUAACCGGGGAACUGCGUCCGAUACUGGAUGGCUAGAGUGUGGGAGAGGGAUGCGGAAUUCCAGGUGUAGCGGUGAAAUGCGUAGAUAUCUGGAGGAACACCGGUGGCGAAGGCGGCAUCCUGGACCACGACUGACGCUGAGGAGCGAAAGCCAGGGGAGCAAACGGG
rnacentral:rRNA from 1 species